rnacentral:rRNA from 1 species
AUUGAACGCUGGCGGCAUGCUUUACACAUGCAAGUCGAGCGGCAGCGCGGGGGCAACCCUGGCGGCGAGCGGCGAACGGGUGAGUAAUGCAUCGGAACGUACCCUGGAGUGGGGGGAUAACGCCGCGAAAGCGGCGCUAAUACCGCAUAUGCUCUGAGGAGGAAAGUGGGGGACCGCAAGGCCUCACGCUCUGGGAGCGGCCGAUGUCCGAUUAGCUAGUUGGUGAGGUAAAGGCUUACCAAGGCGACGAUCGGUAGCUGGUCUGAGAGGAUGAUCAGCCACACUGGGACUGAGACACGGCCCAGACUCCUACGGGAGGCAGCAGUGGGGAAUUUUGGACAAUGGGGGCAACCCUGAUCCAGCCAUGCCGCGUGAGUGAAGAAGGCCUGGUUGUAAG